rfam:Stegodyphus mimosarum contig12502, whole genome shotgun sequence.
GCCUUCGUGGUGUAGUGGUCAGCCCGGUCGACGCAUAUUCGAGAGGUCCGUGGUUCGAGUCCCAGCGAGGGCA